rnacentral:misc_RNA from 1 species
UAUACUGUGGUCUGUGGCUCUACAGUGUCAAGUAAAUCGUUGAGUCUGUUUCGUUCGCCGCAGUUUUUAUAGGUUAAAAAUAAUUUGUUGCUUUGAUUUAAGGAAUGCAGUUAACCUAAGACAAAGUUACAGAGGACAAUUCAUGAACUUAUUAAAAUGGUGAAUGUUAUGAAAGGAGUUUUGGUUGAAUGUGAUGAUGCUAUGAAACAGUUCUUGCUACACUUGGAUGAAACAGAAGCAUUGGGAAAGAAGUUCAUUAUUCAAGACUUGGAUGAACGCCAUCUUUUCAUCUCAGCCGAUAUCCUUGAUGUAUUGCAAGCAAAGGUGGACGAUUUAAUGGAUCAGAUUAGUGUUUCGCUGGCCGACAAAGGUGUUUAAACCCUCUUGUUUUCAUUCAACAAAUCUUGUAUUCCCGGAAGAGGAUUUGCACAAACUAAAAUGGCGACAAAAGUGGCAACAGCCCGCGAGUCGGGGCGUUUGAAAGACUUUAAUCAGAAACGAGUGUUGGAUGAAGCUACAAGAAGCAGAAGAGCUCGAAAAGCACUUGAAGCUCUAGAAUCUGACAACUCUCACGAUGAUCCUCAUCCUGAACUAGUUAUGAGCAAGAAAUUCCCAAAAUUCCAAGAGACUCUUGAUAAUCGAGGUGGAAGAAAAAAGAAAGCAAAAAGUGCAGAAUAUUAUAAACAAAGGUUCCGCAAAAGCCUGGUUCAGCUGGUGGAGGAGGACAGAAACUACCACCCAGAGCCGCCCAACUACAUGACUGCGCAGGCAAUGCCAUCGCAGUUCCCCGAGCGCCACUUCUGUGCCGUCUGUGGCUUCCUCAGCAACUACACGUGUGUGCCGUGUGGCGCUCGCUACUGCUCCAUCCGCUGCCUCGGCACUCACCGCGACACGCGCUGCCUCAAGUGGACUGCUUGAAUCUAGCCACAAACACACGUUGUCAUUUGCUGCUCAUCAGACUACUCUAUACUAUCAUCGUUUUUGUCAAGAAAACCAUUCAGAUUCAAGCUGAUAAUGAUAGAACUCUCAAGAACUUUAUUUUUUGAGAUGGAAUGAAACAGAAUUAGGUCAAUUCAUAAUUUGAUAAGUAUGUUGUUUGACUUUUGUUAAUUGUGAAGAUGAUGAUUGAUUUUCCAGUCAAUUAUUGCAGAUUACUUCUCUAUUCUGUCCUAGUUUGAAAUACGAAGAAGUUGAUAAUUUGAUGAGUUUGGUUGAAAUAGAAUUCGGGCAAUAAUUGAUAAUCUGAUGAGUAUGGUGUUUGUUCCUUGUAAAUUGUAAAGAUGUAAAUUGAUUCGCUUUUAGUUAAUAUUCUAUGCUGUCCUGAUUCUGGGUUGAUCAGAAUUAAGUUCCGUCAGUUGAGAGUUUUAUCAGUGUGAUGUCUCAUUCUUGUGAGUAGUAGAGAUGAUGGCUCAUUUCUUUUUUCGAUUUUCCAGUUACAUAUUACUCUAUAUUGUCAUUGAUUUGAUGAACAAAAACUUUAGAUACUCAAUAGAAUAAAGUAGAAUCCUGACAUUUUAUGAUUUGACGAGUAAGAUGUCUCAUUCUAGUAAAUUUUGAAGAUGAUAGUUUUGUAAAAUCAAGCCAGAGCCGUUCCACUCUAACAAAUAAACAGUCAGCCCAAAGUGUGGCGAUAUUCUGCUGGAAGAAAGUCAGCGCUCUCUGGCGUUUGAUUUUGUACUGGAAUACUUGCAUCCACCUGUCGUCCCUGGACCUGCACACUUCUCGGAAACAUUCGCAUUCUUGCAUCACUUUUUGCAAUUGUCAAGCUCUUGGGAUAACUCAUCACCACCCAAUGAUGUAUGUAGGCCAAACCUUUCACGUGGAGUAGGUCUCAGAACUGAUUGAGUAAAUAAUGUAAUUGUUCCAUAUUACUCGGUACUGCCGCUGUUUUGGUGAAGGAACUAUUCAGAUGUUUCUGAUAGUAGAAUACAAUGAAAUCAAUAUUCUUACAGUCAAUAAUUUGAUCAGUGUUGUGUUUGAUCUGUGUGAACUAUGGGGAAUAUAUUUCAUUUAUGUCAAUUGUUUUGUGAUUUUUUAAGAAUGAAUGAGUGAAACUAUCUUUUUUGUGUUGUAGUGUAGGUGAUGUGGUAGAUAUCCAUAUUGAAUAUUAUAAAAUCAAUAUCAAUUAGAAUGAAACAGUCCUGUUUCGAUAAAAAAUAAUUAUUGAGAUACUUGAUGUAAUAAAAUGAAGCAUUUUAUUGAUAAUUUGAUGAGUAUGAUAUUUCAUUUUUACUUUCCUUGCCCUAUAGGUAAGGAAAGUAUUGCUUUCCGAAAAAAAUUAAGGUACCCAAAUUUCUAAAUUUCUAUAUGUUUCAAGGUCCCCUGAGUCCAAAAAAGUGGUUUUUGGGUGUUUUCUGUAUGUGUGUGUGUGUGUGUGUGUGUGUGUGUGUGUGUGUAUGUGCGUCUGUGUACACGAUAUCUCAUCUCCCAAUUAACGGAAUGACUUGAAAUUUGGAACUUAAGGUCCUUUCACUAUAAGGAUCCGACACGAACAAUUUUGAUCAAAUGCAAUUCAAGAUGGCGGCUAAAAUGGCGAAAAUGUUGUCAAAAACAGGGUUUUUCGUGAUUUUCUCGGAAACGGCUCCAACGAUUUUGAUCAAAUUCAUACCUAAAAUAGUCAUCGAUAAGCUCUAUCAACUGCCACAAGUCCCAUAUCUGUAAAAAUUUCAGGAGCUCCGCCCCCAUCAAUGCAGAUGACGCCCCAUCAAUUGAUUCCCAAUUAUCAGGCUUCAGAUACAAUUGAAACAAAGAAAAUCAAGUGGAGUAGAUUGACCAUGAAAAUCUCUACAAUUAAUGUUCAGUAACAUUUUCACCUAAAAUUGAAAAUAAGCUUUAAAUUCGAGAAAAGGUGAUUAUUCAAUUGCAAAUUAAUGUUGAUUCUAUUAAAUCAUUCACUAUGAAGAGAUAGCAGACCUCAUGUGUGUCUCCAGCGUUAUUUCCCUGUCACCAGCUGGCUCAAAUCUUUGAAUAGUAGACUUGAGAUGCGCGGGAACACUAACGUCAGGUGAUCAAUUUUCAUAACGGCAAGGAAAGUUGUGUGAGUGCGCCACACCAGAUUUUUGUGGAUUGUAAAGAUUACUUUUGACUUCGAUAUUUGUUAAUGCUUGUUAAUAAUUAAACUCGAAAGUAUUCUGCCCAAUACAAUACUCAACGUUACUUAUGUCGUCGAUGGAUGUGUGAUAUUUUAGUUUCUGUGAGGAAUUAUCUAGGUAUUAAAUUUAAUUAUAAAUGCAUAUACCAAGGAAAGAGAAUAGUAGGAUCACUGAACAAUCAACGAAAGGCAUAAUGUGUGUUGAAAAUCUAUUUUUUUUGAUUUUGUGAAAACUAAGUAUUCGUUAAAAAACAGUGUGAUACAUACUCUGUCCACGGCAUGUGUCAUGAUAUGCAAGCUCUAUCAAUUACACUUUCGCUACUGCUAUCAAAUGAUUCGAUAAGCAUAAAAAAUGUUUGUAAAUUAUAAUUUAUCCUAGAAUAAAAUGAAUUUCCAUUUUUGAA